rnacentral:rRNA from 1 species
GGGUUGUGAGGUUAAGCGACUAAGCGUACACGGUGGAUGCCCUGGCAGUCAGAGGCGAUGAAGGACGUGCUAAUCUGCGAUAAGCGUCGGUAAGGUGAUAUGAACCGUUAUAACCGGCGAUUUCCGAAUGGGGAAACCCAGUGUGAUUCGUCACACUAUCAUUAACUGAAUCCAUAGGUUAAUGAGGCGAACCGGGGGAACUGAAACAUCUAAGUACCCCGAGGAAAAGAAAUCAACCGAGAUUCCCCCAGUAGCGGCGAGCGAACGGGGAGCAGCCCAGAGCCUGAAUCAGUGUGUGUGUUAGUGGAAGCGUCUGGAAAGGCGCGCGAUACAGGGUGACAGCCCCGUACACAAAAAUGCACAUGCUGUGAGCUCGAUGAGUAGGGCGGGACACGUGGUAUCCUGUCUGAAUAUGGGGGGACCAUCCUCCAAGGCUAAAUACUCCUGACUGACCGAUAGUGAACCAGUACCGUGAGGGAAAGGCGAAAAGAACCCCGGCGAGGGGAGUGAAAAAGAACCUGAAACCGUGUACGUACAAGCAGUGGGAGCACGCUUAGGCGUGUGACUGCGUACCUUUUGUAUAAUGGGUCAGCGACUUAUAUUCUGUAGCAAGGUUAACCGAAUAGGGGAGCCGAAGGGAAACCGAGUCUUAACUGGGCGUUAAGUUGCAGGGUAUAGACCCGAAACCCGGUGAUCUAGCCAUGGGCAGGUUGAAGGUUGGGUAACACUAACUGGAGGACCGAACCGACUAAUGUUGAAAAAUUAGCGGAUGACUUGUGGCUGGGGGUGAAAGGCCAAUCAAACCGGGAGAUAGCUGGUUCUCCCCGAAAGCUAUUUAGGUAGCGCCUCGUGAAUUCAUCUCCGGGGGUAGAGCACUGUUUCGGCAAGGGGGUCAUCCCGACUUACCAACCCGAUGCAAACUGCGAAUACCGGAGAAUGUUAUCACGGGAGACACACGGCGGGUGCUAACGUCCGUCGUGAAGAGGGAAACAACCCAGACCGCCAGCUAAGGUCCCAAAGUCAUGGUUAAGUGGGAAACGAUGUGGGAAGGCCCAGACAGCCAGGAUGUUGGCUUAGAAGCAGCCAUCAUUUAAAGAAAGCGUAAUAGCUCACUGGUCGAGUCGGCCUGCGCGGAAGAUGUAACGGGGCUAAACCAUGCACCGAAGCUGCGGCAGCGACGCUUAUGCGUUGUUGGGUAGGGGAGCGUUCUGUAAGCCUGUGAAGGUGUGCUGUGAGGCAUGCUGGAGGUAUCAGAAGUGCGAAUGCUGACAUAAGUAACGAUAAAGCGGGUGAAAAGCCCGCUCGCCGGAAGACCAAGGGUUCCUGUCCAACGUUAAUCGGGGCAGGGUGAGUCGACCCCUAAGGCGAGGCCGAAAGGCGUAGUCGAUGGGAAACAGGUUAAUAUUCCUGUACUUGGUGUUACUGCGAAGGGGGGACGGAGAAGGCUAUGUUGGCCGGGCGACGGUUGUCCCGGUUUAAGCGUGUAGGCUGGUUUUCCAGGCAAAUCCGGAAAAUCAAGGCUGAGGCGUGAUGACGAGGCACUACGGUGCUGAAGCAACAAAUGCCCUGCUUCCAGGAAAAGCCUCUAAGCAUCAGGUAACAUCAAAUCGUACCCCAAACCGACACAGGUGGUCAGGUAGAGAAUACCAAGGCGCUUGAGAGAACUCGGGUGAAGGAACUAGGCAAAAUGGUGCCGUAACUUCGGGAGAAGGCACGCUGAUAUGUAGGUGAAGCGACUUGCUCGUGGAGCUGAAAUCAGUCGAAGAUACCAGCUGGCUGCAACUGUUUAUUAAAAACACAGCACUGUGCAAACACGAAAGUGGACGUAUACGGUGUGACGCCUGCCCGGUGCCGGAAGGUUAAUUGAUGGGGUUAGCGCAAGCGAAGCUCUUGAUCGAAGCCCCGGUAAACGGCGGCCGUAACUAUAACGGUCCUAAGGUAGCGAAAUUCCUUGUCGGGUAAGUUCCGACCUGCACGAAUGGCGUAAUGAUGGCCAGGCUGUCUCCACCCGAGACUCAGUGAAAUUGAACUCGCUGUGAAGAUGCAGUGUACCCGCGGCAAGACGGAAAGACCCCGUGAACCUUUACUAUAGCUUGACACUGAACAUUGAGCCUUGAUGUGUAGGAUAGGUGGGAGGCUUUGAAGUGUGGACGCCAGUCUGCAUGGAGCCGACCUUGAAAUACCACCCUUUAAUGUUUGAUGUUCUAACGUUGACCCGUAAUCCGGGUUGCGGACAGUGUCUGGUGGGUAGUUUGACUGGGGCGGUCUCCUCCUAAAGAGUAACGGAGGAGCACGAAGGUUGGCUAAUCCUGGUCGGACAUCAGGAGGUUAGUGCAAUGGCAUAAGCCAGCUUGACUGCGAGCGUGACGGCGCGAGCAGGUGCGAAAGCAGGUCAUAGUGAUCCGGUGGUUCUGAAUGGAAGGGCCAUCGCUCAACGGAUAAAAGGUACUCCGGGGAUAACAGGCUGAUACCGCCCAAGAGUUCAUAUCGACGGCGGUGUUUGGCACCUCGAUGUCGGCUCAUCACAUCCUGGGGCUGAAGUAGGUCCCAAGGGUAUGGCUGUUCGCCAUUUAAAGUGGUACGCGAGCUGGGUUUAGAACGUCGUGAGACAGUUCGGUCCCUAUCUGCCGUGGGCGCUGGAGAACUGAGGGGGGCUGCUCCUAGUACGAGAGGACCGGAGUGGACGCAUCACUGGUGUUCGGGUUGUCAUGCCAAUGGCACUGCCCGGUAGCUAAAUGCGGAAGAGAUAAGUGCUGAAAGCAUCUAAGCACGAAACUUGCCCCGAGAUGAGUUCUCCCUGACUCCUUGAGAGUCCUGAAGGAACGUUGAAGACGACGACGUUGAUAGGCCGGGUGUGUAAGCGCAGCGAUGCGUUGAGCUAACCGGUACUAAUGAACCGUGAGGCUUAACCUUACAACGCCGAAG